rnacentral:lncRNA from 1 species
AGCCCGCCAUGCCUGAGCUUCCCCCCGCCCCCGCCGUGGGCUCCUGUGCGGCCCGAGCCUCCCCGACGAGCGCCGCCCCCUGCUCCACGAUGCCCAGUCCCAUCGACCACCCAAGGGCUGAGGAGUGCGGGCUCACGGUUACAGGAUUCCCAUUUCAGAACUACGACCAUUUGAAAAAUAGAAGAUUUAAAGAUUGACGCAAAGUGCAUGUACCAUGAUACACCAGGUCUCAUCUCCUGAAUAUUUGUCCUGCCCUGAGUUUUCACCUGAGGCCACCUGUACAACUGACUAGAGUAGUUCCACUGAUUGCUAAAAUGGAACAGGCAGGAUUGGUAUUGACUGUCCAAGAGCAAAGUCAGAUACAGAAUUCCCACCUUUGAGUUGUUCCUGUGUUGCAAUAUUAUCAUAAGGCUCAAGCUACCAGAGACACCCACUGUCACACUGGAGCCUGCUUCUGACCAAAACAUCCUCUGUCAAGCUAUAGACUGCUUCUGACCUCAGGUUUGCCAUUCUGAGCACAUAACAAAAAUAAAACAAGAAAAAGCAUAAGGUAUGAAAUGUUAUUCAAAAAAAGAAUGAUGAAACAAUGAACUAAAGCCUGGGCAGUAAAUAAUUCUGUCUUCAAGAUCCCACAUGGAAAAUUUUUUAGAAAGACUUCCUACCUUUCCUACUGUUUGUAAUGUGCAUCUGGAAUACUAGAGAAAGGGUCCCUAAGGUUUGCUGGAAAAAUACCUUAGCUUCUGAGUCUUAGCUUUAUUACUAAUAAACACUGGAUUUCUGGUAGUAGAGAAGGAAAUUUAGUAUUUCAUGAUGGUGAAAGAUGAAAAGAGAGGCUUUAUGGCUGUAUGAUUUGGGUAGAGCUUUUCAGUUAAUUAACGAAGAAAUAUCUGAAUUGAGUCAAUGAGGUACAGAGUUUAUUUCAUACAGAUACUUUUAAACUUCAUAAUGCCAUGACAUACCUGAUUUGUUACUAAUGUCCACAACUUAUCCACGUGUUUAUGGCAAAAAAAAAGUGCACGAAGAAGAAAAUUAUAGUUUCAAAAAUUUCUAGAAUUUGGUUUCUGGAAGAAAAUACAAGUGUCUGUGUGUUUGUGUACAUAUAUUCUAGAUAGAUGAGCCAGUAAGAUAGAGUGAGCAUUAUUUUUUCUUAUCCAAAGAAAAAUAAAAGCAAUGCACAGGUAGAAGACCUGGUAAAUUUUGUAUCAUCAUAACCACCUAAAAGUUUCGUGUGGGAAGGUAAGUCAUAACUCCAAAUAUUUUUUUCUACUUAAAAAUUAAAAUUUGUACAAGAAUAUUUGAUCCAGAAGAAAGAAAUAUAUACAUAAGGAAUUACUAGAAUUUGAAUGCAGAGCAUUUCAAACUAUCUUUAAUCCAAUGAUAUAGUUCUUAUAAAUUAAAAGUCAACAUGGCAAAUUACAAAUGUAAUAUUUAAGUGUGUCCUCAAGAAACUUAAAUAUAAAUAUUGCAAUAAUUUCUGUUAAAUUUAGUUUUAAUUCUCUUUAGUAAUGUAAAAUUCAUACCUUUAUUUUCAAAUAUAACCAUUGAGAUAAGAUCCAUUUGUCCUGGUGGAAAGUAGAAACAAAAGUGCUUUGCCUGGCAGCAAAAGAUACAAAACUUUAUCUGCCAAAACAUUCUGAGCUAAUGCAGAACAAAGGUUUGCUGCUGGGGAGUAGGGGUUGCUGAGAAAGCCUAGUUUUAAAUCCCAGGUGCAGAGUUUUAGUGGUCCAAACAGUAGAAUUGGAUCCCCACCACCACCACUCAGCAGCCUAACCCAGAGAAAGAAGCAAGAGAAGCUUGCUGCUGGGGAAGGAUCAAGAGUAAAGAUAAGAUCCCUACUUUUGCACCAAGUGUCCAGGGACUGAACAAAAUUAGGGACAAAGCAGGAACUCAGAAGAAAGAUCUAAGCAUCACUCUAAGCCCAAGGCAAGAGCAGCCCAUCUUUAAUUAAAACCACACUGGGGGCUGGGCGCAGUGGCUCAUGCCUGUAAUCCCAGCACUUUGGGAGGCCGAGGCAGGUGGAUCACAAGGUCAGGAGAUGGAGACCAUCCUGGCUAACACGGUGAAACCCUGUCUCUAAUAAAAAAUACAAAAAAAAUUAGCCAGGCGUGGUGGUGGGCACCUGUAGUCCCAGCUACUCAGGAGGCUGAUGCAGGAGAAUGGUGUGAACCCGGGAGGCGGAGCUUUGCAGUGAGCCAAGAUCACACCACUGCACUCCAGCCUGGGUGACAGAGCGAGACUCGGUCACAAAGAAAAACAAAACAAAACAAAAAACAAAAACAAAAAAAGAAAACACUGGGAAUUUGAUGUCUGUGGAGCACUGAAAAUGAUAAAAACAAAACACAAACCUAGUUCAACUCAUGACAAGACAGAAUUCCUUACGCUGACUGCUUGACAGAUGAAAAUGUGUGCCCAUUUCUCUGUGUAAUUUUCAUUUACCUUGGUUCCUAGCAUUCUUCUACAAAUAGUUUCUGGCUUUCAACCAAACAUGAGAUACACAAAGAGCCAAGAAGAAAACAACCUGUUUUCAAUAGAUAAAGCAAACAACAUAACUAGACCUAAAGAUGUGUCUGUGAGUCGGGACUAGGAUUAAUACAUACAUUUAAUACAUGUAAUAUUUAUUUAUUUCAUUGUAUGCAAUUUUUACAUAAAAACUAUAGUCUAUAGUCGUGUUGCAGAUUCAAGUUAAUAAUAUGCAAAGUAUUCAAGGGGAAAUGUAUUGAUAUCUUCAAUAUACAUUGAAAUUUAUUCAAAAAGGAAAUGUGUUAAUGGACGAAAGAUCAAUAAAUUAAAAGUGUCUGACAAAACAAUAUAAUAAAAUCUUAAUUAUAGAA